GAUGAACGCUGGCGGCGUGCCUAAUACAUGCAAGUCGAGCGAACAGACGAGGAUCUUGCUCCUUUGACGUUAGCGGCGCACGGGUGAGUAACACGUAUGUAACCUACCUAUAAUACUGGGAUAACUUCGAGAAACCGGAUCUAAUACCGGAUAAGAUUUCGAACCAUAUUGUUCGAUAGUGAAAUACGGCUUUUCUGUCAGGUCUAGAUGGACCUGCGCCGUAUGGGCGAGUUGUUAAGGUAACGGGUUACCAAGGGGACGAGUCGUAGCCGACCUGAGAGAGUGAUAGGCCACAUUGGAGGUGGACCGGGGUCCAGACUACUACGGGAGGCACCAGUAGGGAACCUUCCGCAAUAGUCGAAAGCCUGGCGCAGCAACGCCGCGUGAGAGAUGACGGUCUUGGGAUCGUAAAACUCUGUUAUUAGGGAAAAACAAACGUCUAAGUAAAUGUGCCCGUCUUGACGGUACCUAAUCAGAAAGCAACGGCUAACUACGUG
rnacentral:rRNA from 1 species